UGGCCCAUAAUUCAUACGCUCAUGCUCUUCCAUAAUACCUACCCUAUUAAUACUAUCUGCAACCUAAAAUACAGGGUACACAAUCAGCCGCAUAAACAAUGGGUCUGGUCAAAAAAGAAUCAGCCAUUUCCAUGGCUUCCUCUUAAAGAAGCCAACCCCCAUUUCCAUUACAAAAGGAACCAAAUUCCUAACACCUGAAAAACCAACGAAAUUUUCCAGAAAAUCACCCCAAAAUCAACCAUUAACCACCCCAAACUCCUGCUGAAAAUAAGUUCAAAACUCGGCUAAAAAACUGAUGAAAAACAGCCCUAAAACCAGUCUUUCAACAGCAUCAAAACAACCCUGAAUUAGCCCCCAAAUCACGCCAAAAAUCAAUUGAAAAUUAGCUACAAAACCAGCUGAAAAUUGUCUCAAAACCAGCACAAAAUACAGCUGCAACGCAGCUGCAAAACAGCUCCAGAAUCCUCCAUUAAUCCCAUUGAGGUCUUGAGCUCGAGGUUGUCGCUGACGAGGUUUCCGUUCAACAGCUCCGGUUCAGUUCGCGAGAGAGCUGUAUCCAACCGCAGGACUAAAGCAUAUUUCCUGUCGUGUUGAAUGUCAAGGAUAGAGAAAAAUCAAGUUUAUUGCAAUAGCAGGUAAAGUUUUUUUUAUCUCAAAUAUAUAAAGUUUGCAGGAUAUUUAAUUCUCAUUGGUGUUUAUUGAAUGUGAUAAUUACAUAGGGAUUUGAUUUAAUUUUGAAAUGCAUAAUUUUAUAUAUUAUUGGGUUAAGGACUGUAAAACAAACGUAUAUGCAUUCCUAUGUGAUUAUCACAUUCAUAUUCCUUCUGAUUCUUAUGUAAUUACCACAUUGCUUUAAUUUUUGAGUUUUUGACAUUACUUGGUUGUUAAAGUUCUGAUUGAAUAUGGGAUUUACUGAUGACGGCCUUGCAGUUUCGAAAUUAGUUGAUAAAAUAACUAAUCUUUUAGAUGAUGCCAAUUUGAUUCCUAAGUGACAUUUUUAUAUGGAAACAACAUGGGUAGUGCUAAAUUAGUGAUUUGCUGGAUUUUAUGAUUUAAUUUAUAAAUAUGGGAAUUCUGUUGGAUGCGUAGUUCGCAUUAGUUGAGUAAGAUCUUUUGAAAUAAAUGUAGGUGUGUCAUUCACGAAUAAAAUCCCUAAAUCCAUGACCAUCACUUAAUUAUUUUAAUUCUUUAGAAAUCGAGGUGUGUGAUCAGUUGAAUUUUUUAUGGCCCUCGCAAACCUUGUUAUUAACUUGGAAGUGUUUAGUUGCUUUAGGCGCGCUAUUAAAAAUUACCUUCCUAAACUCGGGUGUGCAUUUAUGUGACCCAAAUCCAAAUCUCAACGAUGUUAAAAUAAGUCGAAAAUCGCGGGUACAUUUAUGUGACGUGGUUCAAGACGUGUUUUGAUAACGUCGCAAAUAUUCAUAAAAAAUAAAUAAAGUGGUUAAUAAUUUUAAAAUUGCACCAUAGGAUGAACAUGUAUGAAAAUCAGAUUAUUAAGCCAUUUAUAAUAGUUUAAGCGACCGUCCUAGAACCACGGAAUCUGAGGGUGCCUAACACCUUCCCUCGGGUUAACAGAAUUCCUUACUCANNNNNNNNNNNNNNNNNNNNNNNNNNNNNNNNNNNNNNNNNNNNNNNNNNNNNNNNNNNNNNNNNNNNNNNNNNNNNNNNNNNNNNNNNNNNNNNNNNNNNNNNNNNNNNNNNNNNNNNNNNNNNNNNNNNNNNNNNNNNNNNNNNNNNNNNNNNNNNNNNNNNNNNNNNNNNNNNNNNNNNNNNNNNNNNNNNNNNNNNNNNNNNNNNNNNNNNNNNNNNNNNNNNNNNNNNNNNNNNNNNNNNNNNNNNNNNNNNNNNNNNUUCCUCAAUUUGGGAUUUAAAAUAAACCGGUGACUUGGGACACCAAAAGCCAAACUUAUCCCAAGUGGCGACUCUGAAUAAAUAAAUGAUCUCAUUUCGAAUAAUAUCACUUAAAUUGGAAAAACUCCCUUAUACAUUAUCUUCUUCGGGGUAGCCGUAUAAAAAAAGAUGUGUGACAGCUCCGGCGACUCUGCUAGGGAGUGAACCCAGAAUCUCUGGUUCAGGGUUCAAGAAGUCGAUCUUAGUAUAACUAUUAUAUUUGGCUUUAUCUGAUUUCAUUACAUGUUCCAUGCCAUAGAUGCUAAAUGCUUUACCGCUUUAAUAUUGGAUGAAAUAUAUAUAAACUGUUACGAAACCCUUCCCUUCUUAUCUUGGGGGAUGUGCUCGCUUGUCGAGACUCCCUAUUCUGUUAGUGUCAUACUUUAAAAAUAAGAACGAGGCUCCGACAAGUUACAAAGCCGGACGAUCUUGCGGGUCCCCGGUACGUAGCCCCCUCCUCGACUCGAGUUGAAAUAAGAAAGAGGCUCGAAUAAGUUACAAAGCCGGAUGAUCUUGCAGGUCACCGGUACGUAGCCCCCUCCUCGACUCGAGUUGUCCGCUCGAGUGCACAGUCUAGACCCUAUACCAAGGUUGUGUCCAUCUAAGACAGGUGACCCGAAAUGAAAAGACUAUCUUGAUGCAUAUUACGUGCUACUUGCGCAUUUAUUUUGCUCUGGAUUCGCAUGUUGAUCGGCUAGUAAAUAAUGAGAGAAAAUUGAGAAAAUAGCGGUAUUAGGGCUUAAUGAGAGUAACCACUUGUUUCGCAAAACCAAUAUCCAAAUAGCACUGAUAAUGUUGCCGGAUUUUUGAGAAAAGAUAAAAAAAAGAAAAAAAACAAGGAAAAAGGGACUUGUUUAACAAAUUUUGGUUUGACAAAAAUACUUUCCCGAACUACGUGGGACUGAUUGUCACUAGAUGUGAGAUACGUAGGCAAACCUCAUCGGUUCCGAGCCCAAUUUUCAAAAAUUAAAAAAUAUUUUCUUUUAGCAAGCAAAUGAAUUUUUUUAGAAGCUUCUCUUUCAAAAAUAAAACAAAAAUAAAAAUCAAAAACAUCAAAAUCAAAAAUUUUCUUUCUUCUUCAAAAGUUCAAAAAAAAAAAAAGAGUUUGUAUAUUUACUCUAUUUCAAAAACAAAAAUAAAAACAAAGCCAAAACAAAAAAAAAUUCAAAAAGUAUUUUCCUUUAUUUCUUUAGAAAAGUUUUUGUAAGAACCCCAAUUUUCAAAAAGCCCCCAAAAAAAGAAAAAAGAAUUUAUUCUUUAGAAAAGUUUCUCUUUAAGCCACCAUUUUCAAAAAAAAAAAAUAUUUUUUCUUAUAAUUUUUCUUGAAAUUCCAAAAAGAGAAUAAACCAUUUUCAUUCGUCUUUCGAAAUUCAAGAUUCAUAAAUAUCUCCCCUUUUAUUUAGAAAGUAUUUCUUUCAAAAAGUUUUAAAAAAAUCCAAAAUCCAAAAAUAUUUUUCUUUCUUCUUUAGAAGUUCCUCUUUUAAAAUUUCAAAAAUAUUNNNNNNNNNNNNNNNNNNNNNNNNNNNNNNNNNNNNNNGAAGUUCCUCUUUUAAAAUUUCAAAAAUAUUUCUUUCUUCUUUCGAGAAUUGAAUUGAAAAUUCGAGAUUCAAAAAUACUUUCUUUUUCCUUAGAAGUACUUCUUUCCUAACUUCAGAAUAAAAAUAUAUAAAUGCAAAUAAAAUAUUUUUCUUUCUUCCUUAAAUUUUUUUUUUUCGAACUUCCAAAAAAAUAAAAAUAAAAGUCGAAAUUCAAAAAAAAAAUUUCUUCUUUUGCAAAAAUGUUGAAGAAAAAUCAAAAUCCAAAAAUAUUCUCUUCCUUCUUUAUAAGUCUUUCUUUUGAAAAAAGUAAAAACACAGAGAAAGUUCGAAAUCCAGAAAAAAUAUAAAUUUUGUUUAUUUCCUCUAUUCCUAAUCUUCCCGAACUGCGCAAGAUCUGAUUCAUGCGGCGUCAUGAUACGUAGGCAACCUACAUCAGGUUCGAUCAACCAUGGAAAAGGGAAAUGAGAAAAAAAAGAAGGGUGAAAAAAUAUUGAUGAUAAUAAAGACCGACUUGAGUCCAUUCUAACAUGUCUUUUAUUUUGAAUUGUGAAGAAAGUUGAGGUGGUCGGCUUGUGGCAAGCAGACAUCACAGGAGUCGAGGAAAAGUGAUAACUGACAGUGAAGCUGUUACAAGUGCUCAAGAGACCGAGGGUUAGAGGGUUCUACAAGAGUCCACUGUGGCUGAGGAAAAUAGAAUACUGAAACAGCAAAUGACCAAAAUGUGUUAAGCAUGGGCCGAUGGCUAAGGAGAACCUUGUCAUGAGUCACAAUUUGUUACACAGCAAGAGAAAUCCCACUCUCCUGAAUACCACUCGUACCUAUUUGAUCUUCCUGCAAAGAUUGAGAAGCCCGCCCAAAAGAUGGUACCGGAAGAUAUAACCCAAAGGGUAAAAAGCUUAGAACAACGGUUGAAAAACUUGCAAGGGUUGGCGGGUCAAAAGAGUGUUGCCUUCAAAGAUCUAUGUAUAUUCCCAGAUGUCCACGUACUGCCUGGUUUCAAGAUUCCCAAAUUUGAAAAGUAUGAUGGACAUGGAGACCCCAUUGUCCACCUGAAAAGGUAUUGCAAUCAGCUGAGAGAUGUGGGAAGAAAUGAAGAAUUGCUAAUAGCUUAUUUUGGGGAAAACCUCACGGGAGUAGCAUUCGAAUGGUUUUUGGAUCAAGACACUUCUCACUGGUAUGUUAGGGAUGACAUGGCACAUGCCUUUGUCAAACAGUUCCAAUACAACAUUGACAUUUCCCUAGACCGCAAUUCUCUUUCAAACCUGAAGAAGAAACCAAGUGAAGCGGGAGUAGCAUCUAAAUGGUUUUUGGAUCACGACACUUCUCGCUGGUACGUUUGGGAUGACAUGGCACAGGCCUCUGUCAAACAAUUUCAAUAUAACAUUGACAUUGCUCCAGACCGCAAUUCGCUUUCAAACCUGAAGAAGAAACCAAGUGAAAGUUUCAGGGAAUAUGCCAUCAGAUGGAGAGAGCAAACAACCAGGGUUAAGCCACCCAUGGAUGACCACGAGCUAAUCACUGUCUUCCUUCAAGCGCGAGAGCCAGAUUACUUUCAAAACAUGAUAUCCUCAGUUUGAAAAUCCUUUUCGGAAGCAAUCAAAAUGGGAGAAACGGUCUUGAGACAUGCAAAAUAUUAAGUCAAGCAGUUCUUAAAGCCGCAACUCAGGCUGUCCAGGUUGAAUCUGACUAUUUUAGUGACAUAAAUGAGAAAGAUGAAGAAAUCAUGAUGACAACAGGGUCGAAGAGGUCCCAGGAGAACACCUUGAAGGUAUGCGCAGCCUCAUCAGGUUUUCCAUGACUCCUCUGAGCAUUACUAUCCACCUCAGAACCCGCCAUAUUCUGUUGAUCCACCACAAUAUGUUGUCCAACCACCAAAUCACCCAAGAAGGUGAGCACGAGGAUCACAAAAUCUCCACCAACCUCCACAAAAUUUUCAAGUGCCUUAUAACCCACAUCCAACCCAGGGGUAUAGAAGGGAACAAAAGUUAAAAUACAAUUUUACACCAAUAGGAGAGUCAUAUGCAAGUUUACUUGAGAAGUUAAAGCAUUAUGGCAUGAUUGCACUCAUUCCUCCAAAUCAUGUGGACCCACGUGCAAGAAACUUUGACCCUUCUAAAAGGUGUGAAUACCAUUCCGAUGUCCGGGGGCACGAUAUUAAAAGUUGUCGGGAUUUGAAAAGAGAAAUAGAGAGGAUGAUCCAGGAAAAACUUAUUGAUCUCCAAGAUGGCAACAUUCAAAAUAUCGCGCAGAAUCCUUUACCUACACAUGAUGAUGCACACUUUGUAGGGAUGAUGCCUGUUGACAUAGAAUAUGAGAAUCCUCUCUGGAACUCGCCGACUGAAAUUGGAGAAGGCUCUGUUGAUUCUAAUGAGCAUUUUUGCGGCUAAAUGUCAAGCCUAGCAAUUGAAAAGUCAUUCCCUCCUCACUAGGAAGGAAUCUUGGUAGCUUGUUUUGAUGUUUUUCGAUUAUCUGGGUUAUUUCAGGGUUGUGAUCCAGAUUUUACUUGUUCAAACCCUUCUAUCUUUAACCCUUUCAUCCUUUACUCAAUAAAAUACAUUUUGUGUCAUUUUGUUCUAAGUUCUUUUCGUGCUAGUUCUAAUAACACGAAAUGUAUGAGGAAAUUUUGGCCAGAUCUUAGAAACUGAUUUAACCUGGAAUUGGAUAACUGAAAAAAAACACACUUUUGAGGAUGAAUAAAGAGUUGAGAUACUUGGGAAUUAGGGUCGUGUAAAAUUCACCUUCAAACCAUUAUGAAGGUCGGGAUUGAGGAUUUCCCCUUACUCAAUAAAAUACAGUUUGUGUCAUUUUGUUCUUAUUUCUUUUCGUGCUAGUUCUAAUAACAUGACAUGCAUCCGGAAAUUUUGACCAGAUCUUAGAAACUGAUUUAACUUGGAAUUGGAUAACUAAAAAAGAGAGAAACACUUUUGAGGAUGAAUAAAGAGUUGAAAUACUUGGGAAUUAAGGCCAAAGGUGAAUGGACUUGAGGAUGUUUUUUCAAUUGAAGUAUGUUGGAAAGCUUGACAUUAAGGGAUGAAAAAUGUCUUAUGACCACGACACACCAAGAAAUUAAACAUAUUCACCAAUGCUGUGAUCGUGAAGAGAUAACAUGAUAGACAUUCUCGAGGCUGGGAGGCCCUUUUUUUGCUAUCCAAACACUUCCUACCACUUGUCUCCCUUUUGAGCAUGUGUUAUUUUCUUUGACUACCCUCUUUUGGAAUCAAGUUUAGAGUCAAGAGUCGAAAAGAAAUGGAAAAGAAAAACAAAGAGAAAGAAAGUCCAUGUCCCAAGAGUAUAAAAUGUGGCAGCUUUUAGAAAGUUCUAAGCGAAAAAAAAGAAAAGAAUUUUCAAAGGUCCAUGCCCUCAAAAAUAGAAGCUGGGGCAAACAAAAAAAAUGUGAAAAAAGCAAGAAAAAAAAAGAAUUUAAAAAAAAAAGAAAACAAAAGAAAACAAAAGAAAAAUGAAAAGAGAAACAGAAAGAAAGAUGAAAAAUAGUUUAGAUUAGAGGUUUGAACUACGUUCGACCUGAUUCCUUUUAAGGAUACGUAGGCAACCUCACGGUUCGGUCCAACCAAAUAAGAAUUCAAAAAAAAAAACGAAACAAAAGAAAAAUCCAAAAAAAUCCCCAAUAGCUGAAAUUGGGGCAGAGAUUUUAUUUCACUUUUGAAAAAGUGGAUUCCAUGAGUUGUAAGUCUACAACUCCGAAUUUUAAGUCUACUUUGAACCUUCAUGCCGACCCCUCUUUCCAACCAUAUCCAAGAUCCCCCAAAUAAAGACCUCCCGAUAUGCUUUCAAGAAUGGCAAGAGAAGCAUGCAAUGAGUAACGGUUGUCACGAGACAUAGAACACUGUCAAGAUACUCGCAUAAGAAAAGCGAAAAGAAAAAAAAAGAAAAAUAAAAAUGAGAGAUUCUUACUAGUGAAAACCCUCACGGGCACUGUAAGGCGAUGGUGAGAAGAGAUAAAUAAAUGAGAGAGUCUUGUUGAUGAAAUUUCCUCGGGGGCGCCACUAGUCGAAAGUGAGUCAUGAAGCUGAUGCAAUGGAUUGGCACGAACAAGCCCGACUUCAAAGGUCAUAAUAAUGGGUAAAAGGGAAGAUUAGAUUAGUUUAAUAAAUCAAGCCAUUGAGUCCAAAAUGCAUGUCAUGAUCAUUAAGGCUAGUUAUUGAAAAAAAAAAAAAGAGGGAAAAAAGGAAAAAUUCUUUCUUCUGUCCUUCCGACAUGGGGCGUUUCUUGUCAAUAUUCAUUUCUUUGCAUCAUUGUGUACUUCUCUCUGAGUUCAUCCUUGUCAAAACAAACAAGAAAAGAUUUUAAAAUCUGUUACCAGCUUUUCAGUUGCACAAAGUAAAUUUGGCCAGCGCACUCAACAUUUACUGUCAGCAUGCCUUGAGGAUUCAUGCAAGGGCUCCCCCAAAAAACUCUUGUCAGCCUGCUUGGCGCAAGCAAAGACAACUUGUGAUUCUCUCUAACGGACAAAUUGCUCAAAAAGCAGAAAGUCAUUGAAGAUAUCAAAAAAGGUCACUUGAGCCAAGAUCUCCAAUCAGGGCAGGGUCGAUUGAGCCUCAAAUACAAAUGGUACUGGGUGCGAAACAAUCAGAGUUGGCGGAGAACAAAAUUCUCUUAAGACCGACUCAGGCUGAUCGAGCAAAAGCCAAGCCGCUUAAGACUCAAGGCCACAAACCGACCACUAUUUUUUAAAACUGACAAAUUGUUCUUUGUUUGCAGCAAAAACAAAGCAGCGUAAGGAAAGUGGUUAAAAACGAACAAAAACAACCAAAAAAAGAGAGAAGAAGAAUAGAGCCGACAAAAGUAAGUUUCUCAAACCUUGGUAUUUAUUUGUCUGCAUGGGCACAAAAUCUUGCCAUUGAUCUUCACAUUUUUUUCCUCCUAGGAUAAAAAGUCCUAGUCUAAUGGAUUUUUCUCCAAAUCAAAAUCUUAGUCUGAUGAAUCUUUCUCCUAGGAUAGAAGACCUAGUCUGAUGAACUUUCUCCUAGGAUCAAAUUAUUAGUCUGAUGAAUUUUUCUCCGAAGAUACCAAAACAAAGUGACCUAGUCUGAUGAGCUUUUUCCUAGGAUCAAAAUCUUAGUCUGAUAAAUUUUUCUCCUAAGAUAGAAGAACUAGUCUGAUGAACUUUCUCCUAGGAUCAAAAUCUUAGUUUGAUGAAUCUUUCUCCUAAGAUANNNNNNNNNNNNNNNNNNNNNNNNNNNNNNNNNNNNNNNNNNNNNNNNNNNNNNNNNNNNNNNNNNNNNNNNNNNNNNNNNNNNNNNNNNNNNNNNNNNNNNNNNNNNNNNNNNNNNNNNNAAAAAAAAACCUAGUCUGAUGAACUUUCUCCUAGGAUCGAAAUCUUAGUCUGAUGAAUCUUUCUCCCAAGACACCUAAAAAUGACCUAGUCUGAUGAAUUUUCUCCUAGGAUAAAUAUCUUAGUCUGAUGAAUCUUUCUCCUAAGAUAGAAAACCUAGUCUGACGAAUUUUCUCCUAGGAUAAUUCAAAAAAACCUAGUCUGGAUCAAAAUCUUUAUCUGAUGAAUCUUUCUCCUAAGACAGAAAACCUAGUCUGACGAAUUUUCUCUUAGGAUAAUUCAAAAAAAUCCAAAAUCAUGGUAGCAUAGGACCUUUUCCCUUUUAUCCCUGCAUAACCCGUGGACCUCCUCGGCAUAACCCGAGGAUCAUCUUUCCUUUUCCUCCCUGGCAUAACCCGAGGGUCUUUUCUUUUCCUCCCCAGCAUAACCUUAGGGUCUUUUUCUUUUUUUUCCCGGCAUAACCCGAUGAUCAUUUUCUUGCUAUCCCCAGUAGAACCCUUUUCCUCCUAUCCCGACAUAAUCCGCGGAUCCCCCUGGCAUAACCCAGGAGCCUUCUUCUCCCGGCAUAGCCCGUGGACCCCUUGGCAUAUCCUAGGAACCUUUUUCAUUCAUUCCGGCAUAACCCGCGGAUCUCCCUGGCAUAACCCAGGAAUCUGUUUCAUCCCGACAUAACCAGUGGCUUUUUCCUUUUAUCCCCAGCAGGGACCCUUCAUUCCCAUCCUGACAUAACCUGUGACCCUUCUCUUACCCCCAGCAGGGACCCUUUCUCCUUCCCAGCAUAACCUGGUAAUCUUUCCAAAAUCAAGGAGAUAGAAAAAUCAAGUUUAUUGCAAUAGCAGUAAAGUUUUUUUUUAUCUCAAGUAGAUAAAGUUUGCAGGAUAUUUGAUUCUCAUUGUGUUGAAAACACGUUCUCAAACAAAACGUGUGUUGAUCUGUGUAGGUUUUGAUAACUGACAAACCAACAAGCUUGGAACGCUAACAGUCAAGCACAAGAGAAACAAGGACAAGAUCAAGAGAAGAUAUGAAGCAAUGAAAAUAAAUGAAGACCUUUUGUUGAGUCUUAUU
rnacentral:lncRNA from 1 species